UACGAAGGGGGCUAGCGUUGCUCGGAAUCACUGGGCGUAAAGCGCACGUAGGCGGCUUUUUAAGUCAGGGGUGAAAUCCUGGAGCUCAACUCCAGAACUGCCUUUGAUACUGAGAAGCUUGAGUCCGGGAGAGGUGAGUGGAACUGCGAGUGCAGAGGUGAAAUUCGUAGAUAUUCGCAAGAACACCAGUGGCGAAGGCGGCUCACUGGCCCGGUACUGACGCUGAGGCGCGAAAGCGUGGGAGCAACAGG
rnacentral:rRNA from 1 species